rnacentral:rRNA from 1 species
UACGUAUGGUGCAAGCGUUAUCCGGAUUUACUGGGUGUAAAGGGAGCGCAGGCGGUUCUGCAAGUCUGAUGUGAAAGCCCGGGGCUCAACCGCGGGACUGCAUUGGAAACUGCGGGACUGGAGUGUCGGAGGGGUAAGCGGAAUUCCUGGUGUAGCGGUGAAAUGCGUAGAUAUCACACAGAACACCGAUUGCGAAGGCAGCUUUCCAAGCUAUUACUGACGCUGAGGCACGAAAGCGUGGGGAGCGAACAGG